UUUUUUUUUUUUUUUUUUUUGUUUUUUUUUUUUUUUUUUUUUUUUUUUUUUUUUUUUUUUUUUUUUUUUUUUUUUUUUUUUUUUUUUUUAGAUUUUGCACUUUAUUAGAACGUUGAUUUCUCCAUAUUGGAUUGGAUAAAUAAAUUUCUAUAGAACGGAUAUCGUAGAUUUUAAUGAAUGAAUAAUGAUACUAUUUGUU
rnacentral:lncRNA from 1 species